ACACUCCUACGGGAGGCAGCAGUGGGGAAUUUUGGACAAUGGGCGAAAGCCUGAUCCAGCAAUGCCGCGUGAGUGAAGAAGGCCUUCGGGUUGUAAAGCUCUUUUGUCAGGGAAGAAACGGUGAAAGCUAAUAUCUUUUGCUAAUGACGGUACCUGAAGAAUAAGCACCGGCUAACUACGUGCCAGCAGCCGCGGUAAUACGUAGGGUGCAAGCGUUAAUCGGAAUUACUGGGCGUAAAGCGUGCGCAGGCGGUUUUGUAAGUCUGAUGUGAAAUCCCCGGGCUCAACCUGGGAAUUGCAUUGGAGACUGCAAGGCUAGAAUCUGGCAGAGGGGGGUAGAAUUCCACGUGUAGCAGUGAAAUGCGUAGAUAUGUGGAGGAACACCGAUGGCGAAGGCAGCCCCCUGGGUCAAGAUUGACGCUCAUGCACGAAAGCGUGGGGAGCAAACAGGAUUAGAAACCCCUGUAGUCCCAUA
rnacentral:rRNA from 1 species